GAUGAACGCUGGCGGCGUGCCUAAUACAUGCAAGUCGAGCGAACAGACGAGGAGCUUGCUCCUCUGACGUUAGCGGCGGACGGGUGAGUAACACGUGGAUAACCUACCUAUAAGACUGGGAUAACUUCGGGAAACCGGAGCUAAUACCGGAUAAUAUAUUGAACCGCAUGGUUCAAUAGUGAAAGACGGUUUUGCUGUCACUUAUAGAUGGAUCCGCGCCGCAUUAGCUAGUUGGUAAGGUAACGGCUUACCAAGGCAACGAUGCGUAGCCGACCUGAGAGGGGGAGCGGCCACACUGGAACGGAGACACGGUCCAGACUCCUACGGGAGGCAGAAGUAGGGAAUCUUCCGCAAUGGGCGAAAGCCUGACGGAGCAACGCCGCGUGAGUGAUGAAGGUCUUCGGAUCGUAAAACUCUGUUAUUAGGGAAGAACAAAUGUGUAAGUAACUAUGCACGUCUUGACGGUACCUAAUCAGAAAGCCACGGCUAACUACGUG
rnacentral:rRNA from 1 species